rnacentral:tRNA from 1 species
GCCGAUUUAGUUCAGUUGGUAGAGCGACUGUUUUGUAAUCAGUAGGUCAGGGAUUCGAAUUCUCUAAUCGGCA